rnacentral:lncRNA from 1 species
CAGAUGGCGCAAGUAUUGCAUGUAUUGCUUGGUUGUUCUUUACUAGUCGUUAACAAUAUUGUUUCUGGCACUGUUUCUGUUUUUGACGGGCACGGAGGGGAUACUUCAGACGACGAAAGUAUUUGAGAUGUUACAGAUGCAGACAAUUGAGGAGAUUAUAGAUAAGUAUUUUGUUGUAGA